UACGAAGGGAGCUAGCGUUGUUCGGAAUCACUGGGCGUAAAGCGCACGUAGGCGGAUUUGUCAGUCAGGGGUGAAAUCCCGGGGCUCAACCUCGGAACUGCCUUUGAUACUGAGGAUCUUGAGUUCGGGAGAGGUGAGUGGAACUGCGAGUGUAGAGGUGAAAUUCGUAGAUAUUCGCAAGAACACCAGUGGCGAAGGCGGCUCACUGGCCCGAUACUGACGCUGAGGCACGAAAGCGUGGGGAGCAAACAGG
rnacentral:rRNA from 1 species